GUGGGGAAUAUUGGGCAAUGGGGGCAACCCUGAUCCAGCCAUUCCGCGUGAGUGAAGAAGGCCUUCGGGUUGUAAAGCUCUUUCGUCAGGAACGAAACGGCGGGCUCUAACAUAGCCUGUUAAUGACGGUACCUGAAGAAGAAGCACCGGCUAACUACGUGCCAGCAGCCGCGGUAAUACGUAGGGUGCGAGCGUUAAUCGGAAUUACUGGGCGUAAAGCGUGCGCAGGCGGAUUGUUAAGCAAGACGUGAAAUCCCCGGGCUUAACCUGGGAAUGGCGUUUUGAACUGGCAGUCUGGAGUGCGUCAGAGGGGGGUGGAAUUCCACGUGUAGCAGUGAAAUGCGUAGAGAUGUGGAGGAACACCGAUGGCGAAGGCAGCCCCCUGGGAUGACACUGACGCUCAUGUACGAAAGCGUGGGUAGCAAACAGGAUUAGAUACCCCAGUAGUCC
rnacentral:rRNA from 1 species